UCAGUGACAAACUCAGGAAAUACCCACUCGCUUCGCUUGUUAUGUAUGGGUAUUGUCGCGUCCCUAAAAUUAACUGUGACUGGAGUGUGCGUUCUCAGCGGAUCGUGUGAUGUGCGUUCAUUCGCGUUCAUGGAAGGUGAAGUGCGUGUGUUCGUAAGUGUGUGGCGAGGUUAGGCGCUCGGCGGUCAGUGUGUGUGCAGCCGUCAGUGGGGGUGGACGUUCCUCUUGUCCGCGCGCCGUCACUGGGUGAUUUUUUUUUCCUUUUUUCUUUAAAAACAGACGUCGCCGCCGCCACCACUCUAGGACAGGUACGAAUUGUUCACGAGACCGAAGGAGGACGAGCUGCGUCUUGUGAGGUGCGCCGCAUAACCCACGUAAGGAUCGGUUUCUAUAGAAUUCUUCCAAACACGCUUUGUCUUGUAAGGAAGCCGGGUGACAAGAGCUGCCAGGUAAAGAAUUUUUUUAUUUUUCUUGCUACUUUUUAUGCCGC
rnacentral:lncRNA from 1 species